rnacentral:rRNA from 1 species
CGCCAGACUCCUACGGGAGGCAGCAGUGGGGAAUAUUGCACAAUGGGGGAAACCCUGAUGCAGCGACGCCGCGUGAGCGAUGAAGUAUUUCGGUAUGUAAAGCUCUAUCAGCAGGGAAGAAGAUGACGGUACCUGACUAAGAAGCCCCGGCUAACUACGUGCCAGCAGCCGCGGUAAUACGUAGGGGGCAAGCGUUAUCCGGAUUUACUGGGUGUAAAGGGAGCGUAGACGGCGAUGCAAGCCAGAUGUGAAAGCCCGGGGCUCAACCCCGGGACUGCAUUUGGAACUGUGUGGCUGGAGUGUCGGAGAGGCAGGCGGAAUUCCUAGUGUAGCGGUGAAAUGCGUAGAUAUUAGGAGGAACACCAGUGGCGAAGGCGGCCUGCUGGACGAUGACUGACGUUGAGGCUCGAAAGCGUGGGGAGCAAACAGGAUUAGAUACCCUGGUACU